rnacentral:rRNA from 1 species
AUUGAACGCUGGCGGCAGGCUUAACACAUGCAAGUCGAGCGAGCGGCGGACGGGUGAGUAAUGUCUGGGAAACUGCCUGAUGGAGGGGGAUAACUACUGGAAACGGUAGCUAAUACCGCAUACCAUCAGAUGUGCCUAGAUGGGAUUAGCUAGUAGGUGGGGUAAUGGCUCACCUAGGCGACGAUCCCUAGCUGGUCUGAGAGGAUGACCAGCCACACUGGAACUGGGACACGGUCCAUACUCCUACGGGAGGCAGCAGUGGGGAAUAUUGCACAAGGGGGGCAAGCCUGAUGCAGCCAGACCGCGUGUGGGAAGAAGGCCUUGGGGUUGUAAAGCACUUUCAGCGGGGAGGCGUUACUCGCAGAAGAAGCACCGGCUAACUACGUGCCAGCAGCCGCGGUAAUUC